UAGGGAAUCUUCGGCAAUGGGGGCAACCCUGACCGAGCAACGCCGCGUGAGUGAAGAAGGUUUUCGGAUCGUAAAGCUCUGUUGUAAGAGAAGAACGUGUGUGAGAGUGGAAAGUUCACACAGUGACGGUAACUUACCAGAAAGGGACGGCUAACUACGUGCCAGCAGCCGCGGUAAUACGUAGGUCCCGAGGGUUGUCCGGAUGUAUUGGGCGUAAAGCGAGCGCAGGCGGUUUAAUAAGUCUGAAGUUAAAGGCAGUGGCUUAACCAUUGGUCGCUUUGGAAACUGUUAAACUUGAGUGCAGAAGGGGAGAGUGGAAUUCCAUGUGUAGCGGUGAAAUGCGUAUAUAUAUGGAGGAACACCGGUGGCGAAAGCGGCUCUCUGGUCUGUAACUGACGCUGAGGCUCGAAAGCGUGGGGAGCGAACAGG
rnacentral:rRNA from 1 species